GAUGAAGAACGUAGCGAAAUGCGAUAAGUAGUGUGAAUUGCAGAAUUCAGUGAAUCAUCGAAACUUUGAACGCACAUUGCGCCCGCCAGUAUUCUGGCGGGCAUGCCUGUUCGAGCGUCAUUACAACCCUCAGGCCCCCGGGCCUGGCGUUGGGGAUCGGCGGAAGCCCCCUGCGGGCACAACGCCGUCCCCCAAAUACAGUGGCGGUCCCGCCGCAGCUUCCAUUGCGUAGUAGCUAACACCUCGCAACUGGAGAGCGGCGCGGCCACGCCGUAAAACACCCAACUUCUGAAUGUUGACCUCGAAUCAGGUAGGAAUACCCGCUGAACUUAAGCAUAUCAAUAAGCGGAGGA
rnacentral:misc_RNA from 1 species